UUGAACGCUGGCGGCAUGCUUUACACAUGCAAGUCGCACGGCAGCGCGGGCUUCGGCCUGGCGGCGAGUGGCGAACGGGUGAGUAAUGCAUCGGAACGUGCCCAGUAGUGGGGGAUAGCCCGGCGAAAGCCGGAUUAAUACCGCAUACGACCUGAGGGUAAAAGCGGGGGACCGAAAGGCCUCGCGCUAUUGGAGCGGCCGAUGUCGGAUUAGCUAGUUGGUGGGGUAAAGGCUUACCAAGGCGACGAUCCGUAGCUGGUCUGAGAGGACGACCAGCCACACUGGGACUGAGACACGGCCCAGACUCCUACGGGAGGCAGCAGUGGGGAAUUUUGGACAAUGGGGGCAACCCUGAUCCAGCCAUGCCGCGUGCGGGAAGAAGGCCUUCGGGUUGUAAACCGCUUUUGUUCGGGAAGAAAUCCUCUGGGCUAAUACCCCGGGGGGAUGACGGUACCGGAAGAAUAAGCACCGGCUAACUACGUG
rnacentral:rRNA from 1 species